CCUACGGGGGGCAGCAGUGGGGAAUAUUGCACAAUGGGCGCAAGCCUGAUGCAGCCAUGCCGCGUGUGUGAAGAAGGCCUUCGGGUUGUAAAGCACUUUCAGCGGGGAGGAAGGCGGUGAGGUUAAUAACCUCAUCGAUUGACGUUACCCGCAGAAGAAGCACCGGCUAACUCCGUGCCAGCAGCCGCGGUAAUACGGAGGGUGCAAGCGUUAAUCGGAAUUACUGGGCGUAAAGCGCACGCAGGCGGUCUGUCAAGUCGGAUGUGAAAUCCCCGGGCUCAACCUGGGAACUGCAUUCGAAGCUGGCAGGCUAGAGGCUUGUAGAGGGGGGUAGAAUGCCAGGUGGAGCGGUGAAAUGCGUAGAGAUCUGGAGGAAUACCGGUGGCGAAGGCGGCCCCCUGGACAAAGACUGACGCUCAGGUGCGAAAGCGUGGGGAGCAAACAGGAUUAGAUACCCCAGUAGUC
rnacentral:rRNA from 1 species